GACGGGUUAGUAACGCGUGGGAACGUGCCCUUUACUUCGGAAUAGUCCCGGGAAACUGGGUUUAAUACCGAAUACGCCCUUCGGGGGAAAGAUUUAUCGGUAAAGGAUCGGCCCGCGUUGGAUUAGGUAGUUGGUGGGGUAAUGGCCUACCAAGCCGACGAUCCAUAGCUGGUUUGAGAGGAUGAUCAGCAACACUGGGACUGAGACACGGCCCAGACUCCUACGGGAGGCAGCAGUGGGGAAUCUUAGACAAUGGGGGCAACCCUGAUCUAGCCAUGCCGCGUGAGUGAAGAAGGCCUUAGGGUCGUAAAGCUCUUUCGCCAGGGAUGAUAAUGACAGUACCUGGUAAAGAAACCCCGGCUAACUCCGUGCCAGCAGCCGCGGUAAUACGGAGGGGGUUAGCGUUGUUCGGAAUUACUGGGCGUAAAGCGCACGUAGGCGGACUUGAAAGUUGGGGGUGAAAUCCCGGGGCUCAACCUCGGAACUGCCUUCAAAACUCCAAGUCUAGAGUUCGAGAGAGGUGAGUGGAAUUCCGAGUGUAGAGGUGAAAUUCGUAGAUAUUCGGAGGAACACCAGUGGCGAAGGCGGCUCACUGGCUCGAUACUGACGCUGAGGUGCGAAA
rnacentral:rRNA from 1 species